rnacentral:rRNA from 1 species
ACGGGUGAGUAAUGCCUGGGAAAUUGCCCUGAUGUGGGGGAUAACCAUUGGAAACGAUGGCUAAUACCGCAUAAUAGCUUCGGCUCAAAGAGGGGGACCUUCGGGCCUCUCGCGUCAGGAUAUGCCCAGGUGGGAUUAGCUAGUUGGUGAGGUAAGGGCUCACCAAGGCGACGAUCCCUAGCUGGUCUGAGAGGAUGAUCAGCCACACUGGAACUGAGACACGGUCCAGACUCCUACGGGAGGCAGCAGUGGGGAAUAUUGCACAAUGGGCGCAAGCCUGAUGCAGCCAUGCCGCGUGUAUGAAGAAGGCCUUCGGGUUGUAAAGUACUUUCAGCAGUGAGGAAGGUGGGUAUGUUAAUAGCAUACUCAUUUGACGUUAGCUGCAGAAGAAGCACCGGCUAACUCCGUGCCAGCAGCCGCGGUAAUACGGAGGGUGCGAGCGUUAAUCGGAAUUACUGGGCGUAAAGCGCAUGCAGGUGGAUGAUUAAGUCAGAUGUGAAAGCCCGGGGCUCAACCUCGGAAUAGCAUUUGAAACUGGUCAUCUAGAGUACUGUAGAGGGGGGUAGAAUUUCAGGUGUAGCGGUGAAAUGCGUAGAGAUCUGAAGGAAUACCGGUGGCGAAG